rnacentral:misc_RNA from 1 species
AAAUGCGAUAAGUAGUGUGAAUUGCGGAAUUCAGUGAAUCAUCGAAUCUUUGAACGCACAUUGCGCCCCUUGGUAUUCCAUGGGGCAUGCCUGUUCGAGCGUCAUUUGUACCCUCAAGCUCUGCUUGGUGUUGGGUGUUUGUCCCCGUCUCCGCGCGUGGACUCGCCCCAAAGUGAUUGGCAGCCGGCGUACUGGUCCCGGAGCGCAGCACAUGUCGCGCAAACGAGUGCCUUGGUACGGCGGCGUCCAUAAGCCCCUCUCUCACGCUCUUGACCUCGGAUCAGGUAGGGAUACCCGCUGAACUUAAGC